GGUUUUCGGUUUGUUCUUUCGGAUUCCUUGCUUCGCUCUAUCUUUUCGCGGCGGAGCUUUGCACAUUUGCUCUUUUGCUUUUCUUUGUGUAUCUCUUUGAGAAAGUUUGUGGGUUCGAGGCUUGGAGUGGAGCGGCGUGGCAGUCGCGAGAUCGGGCGGCGGUACGCACGGAUCUGUGACUCCCUUCUGAGCCCCCUCUCUGAACUCCGAACACUCCUCGACCAAAAAGACGCUCGACCGACUUCGCUCUUCAACGUAGGUCAGGAGACCCUACUAAAUCAGCAAGAUGACGGAAGCCGAAAUGCUCAUGGAGGAGAAACUCCGCAAAAAGAAGGAGGAGGAGGAGGAAAUGUGGGCUGAGUACUUGGAGCAGCGCAAGAAACAACGCGCCAAGGAGGAGGAAGAGCUACGAAAAUUAAAGGAACGGCAGGCCAAGCGUAAAUUACAGCGUGCUGAACAAGAAAGCAAGAUGAACGAAUACAAGAGGAAGCAAGAAGAACAACGAAUUCGAGAAAUGGAAGAGAAGAAAUCCCGAGAGGCCGAAGCGAAGCGGAAGCGUCUCGAGGAAGCCGAGAAGAAGAGGCAGGCCAUGCAGGCGGCCAAGGAGAAGAGGGAGCAGGAACCCGUCAAGCCCAACUUUGUUAUCAGCAAGCGCGAGGGAGACGAAAUGGGCUCGGCGCUGGGAAGCUCCGGCUUGGACAAGUUUGCCAACAUCAUGUACGCCCGCGGCGAGAUGGGCAAGACCAAGGAGCAGAUGGAGGAGGACAAGAAGGCCAUCCUGUCCUUCCGUGUGAAGCCUUUGGAGAUUGAGGGCCUGACCGUCGAGCAGCUGCGGGACAUGGCCAAGAAGCUCUGGGAGAAGGUGGUCGCCCUCGAGUCCGACAAGUACGACCUUGAGGAGCGCCAGAAAAGGCAGGACUACGACCUGAAGGAGUUGGCUGAGCGUCAGAGGCAAAUCAACCGGAGCAGAGCACUGAAGAAAGGUCUCGACCCUGAGGCUCUGCAGGGAAAGCACCCGCCCAAGAUUCAGGUGUCGAGCAAGUACGAGCGCCGACUGGACCGGCGAUCCUUUGAGGACAAGCGGGAACUGUACGACGGCGUGAGUAAGGGUGUCGUGUUGCUCAUGGUGUCGUGCCGUGCUUUUCUCUCUCUCUCUCUCUUUCUGUCCCCUCCUCCUCGUCGUCGUCGUCUUCACUGCCGUGACGUCGCUUCCGGUGUUGCUCAAUCCGUGGCCGCUGUGACGUCACUGCCGGUGUCGCUUCGAUCCGCCAGCCCAAGAUUCAGGUUGCCAGCAAAUACGAGCGAAGGACAGACCGACGUACCUUCGUUGACAAGCGUGACCUGUUCUCCGGUGGUCUGGAAGCCAUGACGGACGCCGAGAUGGAGAAGAUGUGGGAGGACAAGAUGAACAGCUUCAAGGAGCAGUCCCGCGGACAGCUGCCCAAGUGGGACCCCGAGAACCCUAAGAACAAGCAGGUGAGCCACAUCCGUCGUCUGGAAGAAGAGGACGACGACGAAGAGCUCGUGCCUGUCUUCGAGCCCCCCAAGCCGGAGCCCCCCAAGCCCGCCGCCCCGCCGCCGAAGCCCGCCCAGCAGCAGGAAGAGGAAGAAGAAGAGGAAGAGGAGGAAGAGGAAGAGGAGGAAGAGGAAGAAGAGGAAGAAGAGGAGGAGGAAGAGGAGGAAGAGGAAGAAGAGGAAGAGUAAAUCAAGGAGUCAAAAAAAUCCAACUCUUCACGACGAACAACUCUGUCAAGCUCUGAGGUCGAUGACUUCCGGUCAUUUUAAGAAACGAGCGAGACAAACGAAAACAAUAAAGCAUGUUUAAACUCUAAAAUCAAAAAGAGCCCUUUGCAAUGUUGCUUCCAACAAAGACAAGAAGAGUGCUGAUGUAAUAAUAAAAGCAAUGAGCUCUGGGUACUUAUUUCUAACGGACUAUAAUGUUCAUUGUGAUGGAUCCGUUUAACAUUCUUUUUGUUCGGUGCUUCUUGGAGGCCGGUGUUUUAUUCUAUGUGACAUGCGAGCUGGCCGUGUUUUUAUAUUAUAAACAUUGGUUGCAUGCUUCGUUUGUUUUGUUGAGUUGACAUCCUGUUUGAUAUUAUCAUUGUCCAAGUUGAAGCCACAGUAAAUGGGCUAAAGAAAUAAACUGUUUUAAAAAUUACUAA